AACCCAUAAUGAGGGCAUUGCUUCAAAAAACUUUUGAAUCUCUCCCAUACUUUAAAUAGUGAUUCUUCCUCUAUUUGAGAAAAGUUCAUCAUUUGGUUUCUCAUGAAU